rnacentral:rRNA from 1 species
UACGUAGGGGGCAAGCGUUGUCCGGAAUCAUUGGGCGUAAAGCGCGCGUAGGCAGCCCGGUAAGUCCGUUGUGAAAGUCAAAGGCUCAACCUUUGAACGCCGAUGGAUACUGCCGGGCUAGAGUCCGGAAGAGGAGAGUGGAAUUCCCGGUGUAGCGGUGAAAUGCGCAGAUAUCGGGAAGAACACCCGUGGCGAAGGCGGCUCUCUGGGACGGUACUGACGCUGAGACGCGAAAGCGUGGGGAGCGAACAGG